AGAGUUUGAUCCUGGCUCAGGAUGAACGCUAGCUACAGGCUUAACACAUGCAAGUCGAGGGUAACGACAGCGAAAGCUUGCUUUUGCUGGGCGACGACCGGCGCACGGGUGAGUAACGCGUAUCCAACCUGCCCAUAACUAAGGGAUAAUCCGUAGAAAUGCGGUCUAAUACCUUAUGUGUUCCGACGAAGACAUCUGAAUUGGAUAAGAUUUAUCGGUUAUGGAUGGGGAUGCGUCUGAUUAGAUUGUUGGCGGGGCAACGGCCCACCAAGUCUACGAUCAGUAGGGGUUCUGAGAGGAAGGUCCCCCACAUUGGAACUGAGACACGGUCCAAACUCCUACGGGAGGCAGCAGUGAGGAAUAUUGGUCAAUGGGCGAGAGCCUGAACCAGCCAAGUAGCGUGCAGGAAGACGGCCCUAUGGGUUGUAAACUGCUUUGUAUGGGGAUAAAGUGCUCCACGUGUGGAGUUUGUAGGUACCAUACGAAUAAGGACCGGCUAAUUCCGUGCC
rnacentral:rRNA from 1 species